CCUACGGGCGGCUGCAGUGGGGAAUAUUGCGCAAUGGGCGAAAGCCUGACGCAGCGACGCCGCGUGCAGGAUGAAGGUCUUCGGAUCGUAAACCUCUGUCAGCAGGGAAGAACGGUCCCUGUGCUAAUCAGCAGUGCAUUGACGGUACCUGCAAAGGACGCACCGUGUAACUCCGGUCCCGCAGCCGCGGUAAUACGGAGGGUGCGAGCGUUAAUCGGAAUUACGGGGCGUAAAGCGCUCGUAGGCGGUAUGUCAAGUCAAGGGUGAAAUCCCCGCGCUCAACGCGGGAACUGCCUUUGAAACUGGCAAACUUGAGUGUGCGAGAGGAUAGUGGAAUUCCAGGUGUAGGAGUGAAAUCCGUAGAUAUCUGGAGGAACACCAGUGGCGAAGGCGACUAGCUGGAACAUAACUGACGCUGAGGAGCGAAAGCGUGGGUAGCAAACAGGAUUAGAUACCCUGGUAGUC
rnacentral:rRNA from 1 species